UAGAGAGAGACAUGCGCGCAUAUCAAUAAGCGGAGGAAAAGAAACUAACAAGGAUUCCCCUAGUAACGGCGAGUGAAGCGGGAAGAGCUCAAAUUUGAAAUCUUAAAGGGUUUCCCUUUACGAAUUGUAGUUUAAAGAAGUGUUUUCUGUUGAGGUUUUGGUAAAAGUUCUUUGGAAUAGGACAUCAUAGAGGGUGAGAAUCCCGUAUUUGACCUUUACUUUCAACUUUGUGAUACACUUUCAAAGAGUCGGAUUGUUUGGGAAUGCAGUCCAAAAUGGGUGGUAAAUUUCAUCUAGAGCUAAAUAUUGGCGAGAGACCGAUAGCGAACAAGUACCGUGAGGGAAAGAUGAAAAGAACUUUGAAAAGAGAGUUAAACAGUACGUGAAAUUGUCAAAAGGGAAGCGUUUGACACCAGUGUUGUUUUUCUGAAAAUCAAUUAAAGAACUGUUUAUGCUAAGCUGUUUAGACUUUAUCAGCUAAUCUGUUUAGUUUUGAGCUUUUCUUUAAUGCACUUUUCAGUUAACAAGUCAACAUCAAUUUCUUUUGCUGUAAAAAAGCUUGAGGAAGGUGGCUUGAGAUUCGUCUUAAGUGUUUAUAGCCUCUUGCCUAUGCAGUCGGAGAGAUUGAGGUCUGCAGCGUAGAUCCUUCGGGGCUAAAUGCAUUUGUGCUAAGUUAUAGCAUUUUAUAGACAACUUGUUGACUAUGAUUUGUCUUGUAGCUUACUCGCUUAUGUUAUUUUACCUACGCUUAGGAUGUUGAGCGCAUGUCUCUCUCU
rnacentral:rRNA from 1 species